AGUAACGCGUGGGUAACCUGCCUUGUACUGGGGGACAACAGUUAGAGAUGACUGCUAAUACCGCAUAAGCGCACAGUAUCGCAUGAUACAGUGUGAAAAACUCCGGUGGUACAAGAUGGACCCGCGUCUGAUUAGCUAGUUGGUAAGGUAACAGCUUACCAAGGCGACGAUCAGUAGCCGACCUGAGAGGGUGACCGGCCACAUUGGGACUGAGACACGGCCCAA
rnacentral:rRNA from 1 species